GAGGGGACCACAGGAAGGUGCCAACACCAGGAGGCUGAGAUCGUGGGGACUGUCUCAGUGUUUCCACAACAGGGCAUUUUUCAAGGAGGCCAAAUGGCAUUUGAUGUUCAGAAACCCACCUCUCUGACAACAGCCCACCUGAGCACAUGGAGAGUUUCUCUGUCCUAAUAGUGACGUAAUUGGCAAAGGGGGACCAUUCCGUCCAACACUGAAGGAGAUGGAGAAAACGAAGGUGAAAGAAGGUGGAAAAGUUGGAGGUAUAGCUGUCACUCUCAUGUUCGGAGCUGCUCUCUUUCUGAGCCAUCAAGAGCUUGCACACCGUGAGAGAUGCGUUUGGCCUGAGUCCCCAUCGGGCCUACAGCCCCCCACCUUCAUGUGCACCUGGCCUCUAGUCAUGUGUUCUCCUGCCUCGGAAGAAAUGGAACUCCAUCCUGAAGAUAAAAGAUUUCUGCUGCUGGGCUCACUUGAAGAACUUUCUGACUUACAUGAAUAACUAGCAUGGUAUAAACACACUUUAUCUGAAUACAUGCUUUCUUCUUAUUCCUGUAUGCUCUUUUGAAGUCAGAGAUAACAUGUCUUCAUCUUUUAUUUCCCCAGCAUGGCCAGAGACUUGUAUACAGUGGGUGCUAAUUAAGUAUUUGUUGAAUUGAACUGGAAAGCCAAAGUGAAAUGCUCUCAGUCCUCGCAAUGGGUUGUUCCUUCUGUGUUUAAAAUCUCAUUCCAGAGCCACACUGUGACCGUCUACGUGAAUCGUGCAUAUCUAUGUUACCUCCGCCUCUCCUGAUGCAGCAAAAGCAUUUAACAAAAGCUGCACCUCCCAUUCGGAAGCCUGCCUUCUUACUGGGAGGACAGCUCUCGUGUGUACAUUCAUUCCUUGCUGGAGAGGUGGGUGUUGGGUGGAGUUGGGGGAGGGAGAAGUUGUUAAAACACCAUGGGAAC
rnacentral:lncRNA from 1 species